GUCGACGAACUCUGGUAUUGAUUGGUGCUUGCAUCAUGAUUUACAUUUGAGUGAGUGGCGAACUGGUGAGUAACACGUGGGAAACCUGCCCAGAAGCGGGGGAUAACACCUGGAAACAGAUGCUAAUACCGCAUAACAACUUGGACCGCAUGGUCCGAGUUUGAAAGAUGGCUUCGGCUAUCACUUUUGGAUGGUCCCGCGGCGUAUUAGCUAGAUGGUGAGGUAACGGCUCACCAUGGCAAUGAUACGUAGCCGACCUGAGAGGGUAAUCGGCCACAUUGGGACUGAGACACGGCCCAAACUCCUACGGGAGGCAGCAGUAGGGAAUCUUCCACAAUGGACGAAAGUCUGAUGGAGCAACGCCGCGUGAGUGAAGAAGGGUUUCGGCUCGUAAAACUCUGUUGUUAAAGAAGAACAUAUCUGAGAGUAACUGUUCAGGUAUUGACGGUAUUUAACCAGAAAGCCACGGCUAACUACGUGCCAGCAGCCGCGGUAAUACGUAGGUGGCAAGCGUUGUCCGGAUUUAUUGGGCGUAAAGCGAGCGCAGGCGGUUUUUUAAGUCUGAUGUGAAAGCCUUCGGCUCAACCGAAGAAGUGCAUCGGAAACUGGGAAACUUGAGUGCAGAAGAGGACAGUGGAACUCCAUGUGUAGCGGUGAAAUGCGUAGAUAUAUGGAAGAACACCAGUGGCGAAGGCGGCUGUCUGGUCUGUAACUGACGCUGAGGCUCGAAAGUAUGGGUAGCAAACAGGAUUAGAUACCCUGGUAGUCCAUACCGUAAACGAUGAAUGCUAAGUGUUGGAGGGUUUCCGCCCUUCAGUGCUGCAGCUAACGCAUUAAGCAUUCCGCCUGGGGAGUACGGCCGCAAGGCUGAAACUCAAAGGAAUUGACGGGGGCCCGCACAAGCGGUGGAGCAUGUGGUUUAAUUCGAAGCUACGCGAAGAACCUUACCAGGUCUUGACAUACUAUGCAAAUCUAAGAGAUUAGACGUUCCCUUCGGGGACAUGGAUACAGGUGGUGCAUGGUUGUCGUCAGCUCGUGUCGUGAGAUGUUGGGUUAAGUCCCGCAACGAGCGCAACCCUUAUUAUCAGUUGCCAGCAUUAAGUUGGGCACUCUGGUGAGACUGCCGGUGACAAACCGGAGGAAGGUGGGGAUGACGUCAAAUCAUCAUGCCCCUUAUGACCUGGGCUACACACGUGCUACAAUGGAUGGUACAACGAGUUGCGAACUCGCGAGAGUAAGCUAAUCUCUUAAAGCCAUUCUCAGUUCGGAUUGUAGGCUGCAACUCGCCUACAUGAAGUCGGAAUCGCUAGUAAUCGCGGAUCAGCAUGCCGCGGUGAAUACGUUCCCGGGCCUUGUACACACCGCCCGUCACACCAUGAGAGUUUGUAACACCCAAAGUCGGUGGG
rnacentral:rRNA from 1 species